AGGAUUAACGCUGGCGGCGUGCCUAACACAUGCAAGUCGAACGAGGUAGCAAUACCUAGUGGCAGACGGGUGAGUAACGCGUGGUCAACCUACCGUUGAGUGGGGGAUAACUAGCCGAAAGGUUAGCUAAUACCGCAUACGAGUCUCGGGGGCAUCCCUGGGACUUAAAAGGAGCAAUCCGCUCGAUGACGGGACCGCGUCCCAUUAGCUAGAUGGUGGGGUAACGGCCUACCAUGGCACCGAUGGGUAGCUGGUUUGAGAGAGCGACCAGCCACACUGGGACUGAGAAACGGCCCAGACUCCUACGGGAGGCAGCAGUGAGGAAUUUUCCGCAAUGGGCGAAAGCCUGACGGAGCGACGCCGCGUGUGGGAAGAAGGCCUUCGGGUCGUAAACCACUGUCGAAGGGGACGAUAAUGACGGUACCCUUGGAGGAAGCCCGGCUAACUACGUGCCAGCAGCCGC
rnacentral:rRNA from 1 species